rnacentral:snRNA from 1 species
AUCGCUUCUCGGCCUUUUGGCUAAGAUCAAAGUUUAGUUUCUGUUCUUAUCGAAUUAACCUUCGAUAGAGAUUCGAACGAAUCUCGUUAAGGUUAUUUGAUUUUUGGAACCGGAUGGGUCUGCGGGCUUGCUCGCAACC